UACGUAGGGGUCGAGCGUUGUCCGGAGUUACUGGGCGUAAAGCGUGCGCAGGCGGCUCUCUGCGCCCGGCGUGAAAGCCCCCGGCUCAACCGGGGAGGGUCGUCGGGGACGGGAGAGCUUGAGGGUAUCAGGGGCUGGUGGAAUUCCCGGUGUAGUGGUGAAAUGCGUAGAGAUCGGGAGGAACACCCGUGGCGAAGGCGGCCAGCUGGGAUACACCUGACGCUGAGGCACGAAGGCGUGGGGAGCGAACGGG
rnacentral:rRNA from 1 species